UUGAUUCAAAUGUGAAAAUCUUAUUUCUUUAUCCUUUAAGAAAGUACGACCAUGUUAGACUACAAGGCCUUCUAGAAGUAGUUAAAUAAAUAAGGUUUCACAUUUGAGGCGAGAGAAUGAACAAAAUUAUAAAACUUUAGGCAUUCGGUACAGUAUGGUACUGACCAGUAUCAAAUACCUGAUACCGCUACCGUACCAUGCUCUCUUGAUACGGUAUGGUAUCGUAUCGAAUACAGCCUCAUCCUAAACGAAACGGUAUAAAACUAGUUUGGUACAGUAUGGUUUGUGUACAAUUUCGGUAUUUCGGCUUUAGAUGCCCAACUCUAGUUUUAUGACUCAAAGUUUCAGCCAAUUUUCGGCUCGAGUUUCUGGCAAGUUCCGGCCACUUUUUGGCAUUGGUCCAAGAACAAAAGUUGUUCCGCUAGUUGUCCUGAUCACGUAGAUAUAAGUAUUGUUGGGUGGUGUCGCCAGAAUUUUCUCAAGACACUCGCGCUUUGCCG
rnacentral:lncRNA from 1 species